rnacentral:rRNA from 1 species
GACGGGGGGGGCAAGUGUUCUUCGGAAUCACUGGGCGUAAAGCGCACGUAGGCGGCUUUUUAAGUCAGGGGUGAAAUCCUGGAGCUCAACUCCAGAACUGCCUUUGAUACUGGAGAUCUUGAGUCCGGAAGAGGUAAGUGGAACUGCGAGUGUAGAGGUGAAAUUCGUAGAUAUUCGCAAGAACACCAGUGGCGAAGGCGGCUUACUGGUCCGGAACUGACGCUGAGGUGCGAAAGCGUGGGGAGCAAACAGG